AAGCAAUUUGCUCAUAGCCAUAGCUUUCUUGUGAAAGUAGGAUAUUAACCCAGGUGUCUUGGUGCUGGAGAACAGAACUGGCCAGAGUCCAUCCUGUCUCCCACCGGCAUCCCAUUACGAAAUGAACACAGAAAAGGCAGGUCUGCAAUGCCAACAUCUAGUAUCUAUCCCAAAGACCAGGGAGAAAGGAAGGAAAGAUUCUGGUUCUGUCCUCUUCCCCAAGGCAAGGCUGGCUGCCCUACCAACAGAGGCAAAGAGAAGAGUGUGCAAGGCUGGCUGCCCUCCCAACAGAGGCAAAGAGGAGUGUGUGUUGAAAUAUCCAUUGAAUCCCUGAGACAACUGGAUCCUGGCCCAUUGAAUCAUAAACUCAUUUCAGAGAAGAUGAAACUGAUGUGCGUCAAAAAGUUAUGGAGGCUGGGAAGACCUAGAAUGUGGCAUCACUAUUUGCUGAAAUUUUUAAUAUAAUGCCUCUUAGCCUGGUUUGGAGAAAACGUCACAGAGAGGCACCAUUUGUUGUGGUUUUACAUGAAAAUUUUCUGACCCUGAACCUGGUUUGAUGGAAAUCAUUUGCUGAGGUUAUUUAGAAAAUUGUUACCUCAAAAAUGACCUAGGGGUCCUUAGAAUAAUAACACACAGAAGAAUAGCCUCAUUUUUCUGUUGGGCCCAGGAAACCAUGCCGAUUACCGACCGAGCUCUCAAUGGAAAAAUGCAGUCGGCGUGAACCACGCACGAACACAGCAGAGAAAGAAGAAAACACACACCACGAGGAACCCUAAUAGGACAAUACAUUAUAAGCCUCAUGGUACAUCCACUUGGUGUGCUGGGAGAGUCAGGAUGAGGACCUGAGAAGAACAGCAGCUUGAACCUGACUUCAUUUAACAGCCCACUGCCCUCUUGCCAAGAACCCAUCACAGACCUUCCCAGAAGAGAGGGAUGAGCCUCACCUAUGAAUAAGUCCUCAGAAACUCAAAUUUGAUUCUAAUGGAUUGUUUUCUCAGAAAGACUGAGCAUGUCCCCCCACAUCUCUGUCAUUUCCCACAGUAGUAACCUCUGCAGAUGCCACAUAGAAAACAAAACAAAACAAAAAAACAUGAGGUUGGUGGGCAGAUAGGCAGGGUAUAAACAAACAGCCUUGUAACCCAGAAGCUGUGUGAUAUACAGUAAACUUCACAACACUGAAAAGAUGUCCUAUCUGUUAAAAUGGGGUAAUAACAACUACCCGAAUGUUUAGGAAUAGAACUUCAAUAAAUGAUACAUUUUAUAGUACAGCAGACCAUCCUGUAAAGGUUUCAUCCUUCACUGUGGUGAUAAAUAUCCCAAACCACAUUGAAAAGCAUUGCAUCUACAUUUAUCUACACUGUAACUGUACUGUAAAUCAUGGGGGAGGGGAGAAUCAUAAAAACACCACCUGUCACCGUGUCAUUAAAGCAAGUUGGAAGUGAUACUUACAGAAACACAGCAAGAGCACCCCCAGUCACACAGUUCAAUCUCUUAGCAAGCGUUUUCUUUCUAGCCCAGUGGUUCUCAGUUUGGAAUUUUUGGCACUGCCUAGAGAUAGUUUUGUUGUUAAAACUGAGAAAAGAGCCGGGCGUGGUGGCACACGCCUUUAAUCCCAGCACUCAGGAGGCAGAGGCAGG
rnacentral:lncRNA from 1 species